rnacentral:lncRNA from 13 species
AUGGCUGAACGGGAGCCUCAUCCUCUGUCAGAAUGGCCCAACCUAUCCUACCUCAUGGCUGGCCCUUCCAGACCAUUGAUGGGCUGCCGGGCACCUCCUCCACCUCCCGGUCCUCUGGGACCUCAAUCACUCUCUGCAACUGAACCUUCUCUAGAACCUCUGAUACCUCCUCCACUGGAACAACCUCUGGAGCCUGAAACACCUUCUCCAGCUGAAGGUUUCCUGAGACGUCAGACACCUCAGCCACGUGAGUUUCCUAAGGGACCUCAGCAACAUACUCCAGUCGAGUGUCCCCUGGACCCGCAAUCACCUCCUGACCUUGAGUGUUCCCCUGGAAGUUCAACAACCUCCAAUACUACAGUGUCCACUGGGAGUCAACCACCUCCUCAACGUGAGUGUCCCCUGGAAGUUCAACAACCUCCUAUACUACAGUGUCCACUGGGACCUCAACCACCUUCUGAAUGUGAGUGUCCCCUGGAAAUUCAACAACCUCCUGAAGCUGUCUCUUUUCUGGGACCUCAUCCUCCUCCUGCAGGUGUCUGUCCUGCAGCACUUCCUCAGCCUACUGCCGCUGUCUGUCCCCAGGACCUCAUGUUCCACCUGCAGGUGUCUCUCCUCCCAGACCUCAUCCACCUCCUGCCGGCAUUUGUGUGCCGGGACCUCAUGCACCUCCUGCGGGUUUCCGUCCUCUGGGACCUCAUUUCCCUCCUGCAGGUGUCUGUCCUGCAACGCCUCAUCAACCUACUGCAGCUUCUUGUCCCCAGGGACCUCAUCUACCUGCUACAGGUGUCUCUCCUCUGGGACCUCAUCUACCUGCUACAGGUGUCUGUCCCCUGGGACCUCAUCUACCUGCUACAGGUGUCUGUCCCCUGGGACCUCAUCUACCUGCUACAGGUGUCUCUCCUCUGGGAUCUCAGUGACUUUUCUCCUGCUCUGUGGCCUGUGGGACCUCAGCCUGCUCCUCCACUCAGCAGUCUGUUUGGCCUCAGCCACCUCCUCUACUGGGUGGCCUCUGGCCCCUCAACUACCACCUCUACAUGA